UAAAAAGUGAUGCACAACAUGGGAAGAGUUAAAUCCUGCUUAUUUUGUGUGCUUUGCAGAGUGAAUGGGCUUAAGACCAUGCAUUGGUUGGACAUUGAGAGAUAAGGUUGAUAAAGAUUUCUAUAAACACACAACUCUGUUUUACUUGUGAAGAAAGGAUUUUUCAAGUCAGUAUUCAGUGCUUGUGUCAAGACCAGCAAGAUCUUCAAUAAAUUGUCAGAAAAUGGUUGUGAUAAAAGAUACACCAGACAUGACAAUAGUAUAUUAUGGCAACUGUGGGAUCAAGGCUCUUCACAUUCAGUUCUACUGAACUUUUCUGAAGGCUCAGAAUCACUCCAUUUCUGAGGCCAAGGAGGCUUCACAAAAUCAGAAAUAAUGACAGCUUCAGCUAACCUGA
rnacentral:lncRNA from 1 species